CUGCCCUCAAGCACGGCUUGUGUGUUGGGCCCCCGCCCCCCGGCUCCCGGGGGGCGGGCCCGAAAGGCAGCGGCGGCACCGCGUCCGGUCCUCGAGCGUAUGGGGCUUCGUCACCCGCUCUGUAGGCCCGGCCGACAGUCUGCCGACUCUCCAACCUUCUUUUUUCCA
rnacentral:misc_RNA from 1 species